rnacentral:rRNA from 1 species
AGCGAACGCUGGCGGCAGGCUUAACACAUGCAAGUCGAGCGGGCGUAGCAAUACGUCAGCGGCAGACGGGUGAGUAACGCGUGGGAACAUACCUUUUGGUUCGGAACAACACAGGGAAACUUGUGCUAAUACCGGAUAAGCCCUUACGGGGAAAGAUUUAUCGCCGAAAGAUUGGCCCGCGUCUGAUUAGCUAGUUGGUGAGGUAAUGGCUCACCAAGGCGACGAUCAGUAGCUGGCUGAGAGGAUGAUCAGCCACAUUGGGACUGAGACACGGCCCAAAACUCCUACGGGAGGCAGCAGUGGGGAAUAUUGGACAAUGGGCGCAAGCCUGAUCCAGCCAUGCCGCGUGAGUGAUGAAGGCC